AACAUCGCGCACCUGCGGGAACCUGCGUAGGGAUCAUUACAGAGUUGCAAAACUCCCUAAACCAUUGUGAACGUUACCUAAACCGUUGCUUCGGCGGGCGGCCCGGGUCCUUCCCGGCGCCCCUCGGCCCUCGCGGGCGCCCGCCGGAGGUAAACCAAACUAUUGCAUUGUAUGGCCUCUCUGAGUCUUCUGUACUGAAUAAGUCAAAACUUUCAACAAUGGAUCUCAGAUCGGAAGAGC
rnacentral:misc_RNA from 1 species